GACGAACGCUGGUGGCGUGCUUAACACAUGCAAGUCGAACGGGAUUUAGUAAACAGCAGCCUCGGUGGAAGAUUACUAAUGAGAGUGGCGAACGGGUGGGUAACGCGUGAGCAACCUGCCUAUGACAGUGGGAUAGCCUCGGGAAACCGGGAUUAAUACCGCAUAAAAUCGUAGAAACACAUGUUUUAACGGUCAAAGAUUUAUCGGUCAUAGAUGGGCUCGCGUCUGAUUAGCUAGUUGGUGAGAUAACAGCCCACCAAGGCGACGAUCAGUAGCCGGUCUGAGAGGAUGAACGGCCACAUUGGAACUGAGACACGGUCCAAACUCCUACGGGAGGCAGCAGUGGGGAAUAUUGCACAAUGGGGGAAACCCUGAUGCAGCGACGCCGCGUGAACGAAGAAGGUAUUCGUAUCGUAAAGUUCUGUCCUAUGGGAAGAUAAUGACAGUACCAUAGAAGAAAGCUCCGGCUAAAUACGUG
rnacentral:rRNA from 1 species